CGCCCUCUGAAAGACAGACAGUGAGCGUGCCAAGAGUGUAUCCCGACAGGCAGAAGGACCUGGCUCUUCUUCCCUCUCCUCCUACAGAUAUGGAUGAGUCGCAGGACCUGGCCGAGCUUCCGAAAAAGAAAGCUCGUCAUGAACCAGACAUUAGCCAGGAGGGACAACAGGGUGUAACUAACAAAGACACGGACUCCGCAGAAAGAAAUGAUUCUGUUGCUCUAGGGUCAGAGGUCAGCUCUUACCCUCCUUCCUCGGUGCCUCAUCUCGACGCAGUUUCUGGGAGUAGUGAACAGUCAAGUCAAGAGACAGGAACUGGAAACCAAACAUGUGAUACUGACAACUCCUAUACCAACAAUGCUGUAACCUGCAAAGACCUUACUACAACUACAGGCACUGAAUAUACCUCACAGAUCUACCAAGGAAGCAACCCUGCAGUCACAGCCUACGCUAGCCAAGGGGCCUUCUCCCUCCCGCAGUCCUCCGUGUACAACACCUUCCCCCAGGGUGGACAGACCUACGGCCUUCCGCCUUUUGGUGCCAUGUGGCCUGGCAUUAAAACAGAGACAGGGUUGCCUGAGGCGCCCUCUGUUGGCCAACCUGGGUUUCUCAGCUUCAGCACCGCAUAUACCUCCACCCAGCUCGGCCAAGCGCACUACUCCUACCCCAGCCAAGGCAAGCCACUUGCUGCAAAUCCCCCCCACCCCCACCCCUUUUACUCACGCAGGCUGUGCUUCACUCUGCUGUAUUUACAUGGGAACCCCCCUACCCUCUCAGAUUCGUCCCCAGGUGUGGCUCUCCCCACUGGUGCUCGGGAGCAGGACGACUCGUCACGCAGGAACCCCCCUGGCAAAUCUAAAGGAAAGGCCAAGAAGGCUGACAACUCCCAGUCCAUAGACAACGACUUAGAGCGCAUCUUCAUAUGGGAUCUGGACGAGACCAUCAUCAUCUUUCACUCUCUGCUCACCGGCACCUUUGCACAGAAGUUUGGCAAGGACCCAGCCACUGUUCUUAAUCUGGGCCUUCAGAUGGAGGAGCUGAUCUUUGAGCUGGCAGACACCCACCUGUUCUUCAACGACCUCGAGGAGUGCGACCAGGUGCACGUUGAGGACGUGGCCUCUGACGACAAUGGCCAAGAUCUGAGCAACUACAACUUUGCUACUGACGGCUUCACGGGAGUGGAGUGGAUGCGCAAGCUGGCCUUCCGCUACCGCCGCCUCAAAGAAAUCUACAACGCAUAUAAAGGCAACGCAGGAGGUUUGCUGAGCCCCAUGAAGAGGGAUCUGCUCCUGAGGCUGCGGGCGGAGAUCGAGACUGUGACGGACUCCUGGCUCAGCAUCGCACUCAAGUCCCUGCUACUCAUCCAGUCAAGGGGCAGGUGUAUGAACGUUCUGGUCACCACCACCCAGCUUGUGCCUGCACUGGCUAAGGUGCUACUCUACGGCCUGGGAGAAGUGUUUCCUAUUGAGAAUAUCUACAGUGCUACAAAAAUAGGGAAGGAGAGCUGCUUUGAGCGCAUAGUCUCCCGCUUUGGGAAGAAAGUGACGUACGUGGUUAUUGGGGAUGGCCGCGAUGAGGAAUUUGCGGCAAAACAGCACAAUAUGCCCUUCUGGCGCGUCUCUGCGCAUGGAGAUCUGGUGUCCCUACACCAGGCUCUGGAGCUGGACUUCCUGUAGGAGACAGAGGGAAGGAAACAGACAUGGGCCACAGAGACAGACACAGCAGCAUAGCAUUGGGAGAUGGUGGGGAGGUGUUCAUCUAUACUAUUCCCAGUCUCGCUCUCUCUCACACUCACACACACACACACACACACAUACAUACACUAUAUAUAUAUAUGCUAUAUAUAUACAAAUAGAUCAUGACAGCUGCCACUAUGGAUUUGAAUGGGCGUUGGUGUGCUUGGUAAUGCCAUUGAGAACCAAACUGGAGCACUGGAUGACUGGAUCAACUGCCAUUGGACACCUCCUGCUCCUCUUUCUCCCUCUAUGGCAGCUAUCCUCCUCCUCCUCCUCCUCCACUGGAAGGAGCUGCCUUCUAGGAUUCCCCAGUCAAGGCAGCACAAGGUGAAAAGAACAGGACAUCUUCUGUUUCAUUUUCAUCUUUUCUUUUCCACUCCUGAUCAUACCCAAUGGAGUCUCCCCACCACACACACACACACACACACACACACACACACACACACACACACACACCACGGGCCGUCAGGGGUUGUCGCUCCAGCUGUCAUGUUUUCACCAAAGGAAUGACCAAAGGUCUGCACUGUCAUGAACUGGGAUGAUUUUGCUUUUUUUUCAUGUAGUAAUCAUUUUUUUGUUUUGUUUUCUGUAGUCUGUAGUUGCAAUCCCUCAUGUAAGGAAUCUAGAAGUUCUGGCAAUCUUUUUAUUUCAUAAUUCAUUCCAGGGCUUAAAAAAACGAAAGUGAAUUAUCAUUCAACAUGUAACUUACUGAAGGUGUGUAAGAAGUUGUUUUGAAAUGGUCACUGCCUCUACAGUUUUUGUGUUCUUGGAACAAACAGGGUUCCCUUUUUUUAGCUAAAUCCACUCCCUCCACUUCACUGAAGCCGUUUGGGUGUGUUGCUGGCCUAGCAUCAUCUUUCUGUCCGAUAAGAGUCCCACUUAAGAGUAGUAGCAGGAAGCAGGUCUACAAAUAAAGACAGCCAAGCCCUUUUCA
rnacentral:lncRNA from 1 species